rnacentral:tRNA from 1 species
GCCUGGAUGGCUCAGUCGGUUGGGUGUCCAACUUUGGCUCGGGUCAUGAUCUCACUGUCCGUGGGUUCGAGCCCCACAUCGGGCU